rnacentral:rRNA from 1 species
GACGAACGCUGGCGGCGUGCUUAACACAUGCAAGUCGAACGAAGUGGCGCACGGGUGAGUAACGCGUAAUCAACCUGCCCUUCAGGGGGGGACAACAGUUGGAAACGACUGCUAAUCCCGCAUACUGAAGGCGGGGAUUGCGUCUGAUUAGGUAGGGGGGGGGGUAACGGCCCACCACGGCGAUGGUCAGUAGCCGGUCUGAGGGGGUGAACGGCCACAAUGGGAAUGGGACACGGCCCAGACGCCUACGGGAGGCAGCAGGGGGGAAUCUUCCGCAAUGGGCGAAAGUCUGACGGAGCAACGCCGCGGGAGUGAUGACGGCCUUCGGGUUGUAAAGCUCUGUUAAUCGGGGCGCGGUACCGGAAGAGAAAGCCACGGCUAACUACGUGCCAGCAGCCGCGGUAAUAC